rnacentral:lncRNA from 1 species
GCCCUGGCCAGGGGAUCAGCGGGCUGCUCCGCGGCACCGGGACCACCUAAGGGGCUGCCCUGCACCGGGAGAGGCGAGUUCUUAGGGAAUCAAGGGAGUGGCGGGUGCUCGGAGGAUGCGGAGGCCUCCCUGUUUCCUUGGUAGAGUCGAUCCGCACUCAGUCUGACCCAGGACGUCAUUCUGCCUGUCUGUUUUCUCAAUGAUAACUUGGCAGGAGAAGAGGGAAGCUGCUAGGUUUUCCCUGGGCUCAUUACCUGGUCGUUCAUUCCAGCCUACAUUUGAAGUGGCUACAUGCAGCCAGAGAGACUGGAGUGUAUAACUCAGGAGUUAAAUAGUAACUUCCUCUUCAGGACUACUCAUGGUAUUAAGCACCAUGCCUGAUAAGUGUUUUCAGAAUCCAAGCCCCUAAAUUAAGACAGAAGUGGAGAUGACAACAUGAUUAUGCAUUCACUGGAGAAGCUAUUCCAUGUGGUUUGAAUCCAAUCCAAUCCCUGUGAAAGUCAACGGAAAGACUCCUAUCGAUGUUAUUCUUAGCUAUCCAGACAGUUUUGACUAGCUGCUUCCAGGGAAGAGAGAGAAAUCCAAAUGACCCAAGUGAAGGUUUCUCUGUGGAGGUUCACAUCCUUCUUGCAAAUCACUUUAAAAUGGCUUUCUACUUUCUGGCUUUCUAAAGUCAUCUUCAGAAAGCUGCAUUAAAGAAGACCUCAGGACCUGGUUUGCUUUCC